CACGUAGGGCGCAAGCGUUGUCCGGAAUUAUUGGGCGUAAAGAGCUCGUAGGCGGUCUGUUGCGUCCGCUGUGAAAACUCGGGGCUUAACCCCGAGCCUGCAGUGGAUACGGGCAGACUAGAGGUAGGUAGGGGAGAAUGGAAUUCCCGGUGUAGCGGUGAAAUGCGCAGAUAUCGGGAGGAACACCGGUGGCGAAAGCGACUCUCUGGACGGCAACUGACGCUGAGGCACGAAAGCGUGGGGAGCAAACAGG
rnacentral:rRNA from 1 species